AGCGAACGCUGGCGGCAGGCCUAACACAUGCAAGUCGAACGGAUCCUUCGGGAUUAGUGGCGGACGGGUGAGUAACACGUGGGAACGUGCCCUUUGGUUCGGAACAACUCAGGGAAACUUGAGCUAAUACCGGAUGUGCCCUUCGGGGGAAAGAUUUAUCGCCAUUGGAGCGGCCCGCGUCUGAUUAGCUAGUUGGUGAGGUAAAGGCUCACCAAGGCGACGAUCAGGAGCUGGUCUGAGAGGAUGAUCAGCCACAUUGGGACUGAGGCACGGCCAAAACCCCUACGGGAGGCAGCAGUGGGGAAUCUUGCGCAAUGGGCGAAAGCCUGAUGCAGCCAUGCCGCGUGAAUGAUGAAGGUCUUAGGAUUGUAAAAUUCUUUCACCGGGGACGAUAAUGACGGUACCCGGAGAAGAAGCCCCGGCUAACUUCGUGCCAGCCGCCGCCGUAAGAC
rnacentral:rRNA from 1 species